ACAGCAGCCGCCGCGGGAAUACGAAGGGGGCUAGCGUUGCUCGGAAUGACUGGGCGUAAAGGGCGCGUAGGCGGCGGCCAAAGUCAGGCGUGAAAUUCCCGGGCUCAACCUGGGGGCUGCGUUUGAUACUUGGUUGCUUGAGUGGGGAAGAGGGUCGUGGAAUUCCCAGUGUAGAGGUGAAAUUCGUAGAUAUUGGGAAGAACACCGGUGGCGAAGGCGGCGACCUGGUCCUUUACUGACGCUGAGGCGCGAAAGCGUGGGGAGCAAACAGGAUUAGAUACCCGUGUAGUCCCUGUCUCUUAUAC
rnacentral:rRNA from 1 species